rnacentral:SRP_RNA from 1 species
GCCGGAAGCGGUGGCGCGCGCCUGUAGUCCCAGCUACUCGGGAGGCUGAGAUGGGAGGAUCGCUUGAGCCCAGGAGUUCUGGGCUGUAGUGCGCUAUGCCGAUCGGGUGUCCGCACUAAGUUCGGCAUCAAUAUGGUGACCUCCCGGGAGCGGGGGACCACCAGGUUGCCUAAGGAGGGGUGAACCGGCCCAGGUCGGAAACGGAGCAGGUCAAAACUCCCGUGCUGAUCAGUAGUGGGAUCGCGCCUGUGAAUAGCCACUGCACUCCAGCCUGGGCAACAUAGUGAGACCCCGUCUCU